AAUCGAACCCGGAGAUAGCUGGUUCUCCCCGAAAUAGCUUUAGGGCUAGCGUCGAGGUAGAGAGUUGCGUGAAGGUAGAGCACUGAAUAUGUGAUGGCCCCAUCUCGGGGUACUGAGCAUAAUCAAACUGCGAAUGUCACGGAAACAUACUCGGCAGUCAGACAGCGGGUGAUAAGGUCCGUUGUCAAGAGGGAAACAGCCCAGACCAUCAGCUAAGGUCCCAAAAUGUAUGCUAAGUGGAAAAGGAUGUGGAGAUGUACAGACAACUAGGAGGUUGGCUCAGAAGCAGCCAUCCUUUAAAGAGUGCGUAACAGCUCACUAGUCGAAUGACUCUGCGCCGAUAAUUUACCGGGGCUAAGCAUACUACCGAAGCUAUGGAUCCCAAGGGAUGGUAGGGGAGCGUUCCAUGAACGGAGAAGCGUGAUCGAGAGGACGCGUGGAGAUCAUGGAAGAGAGAAUGCCGGUGUGAGUAGCGGAACGUGGGUGAGAAUCCCACGCACCGAAAACCCAAGGUUUCCAGAGGAAGGUUCGUCCGCUCUGGGUAAGUCGGGACCUAAGGCGAGGCCGAGAGGCGUAGUCGAUGGACAACAGGUAGAGAUUCCUGUACUCAUAUAUAUGUGAAGGAAUGACGGAGAGAGGAAGCUGCAGCCAGCGGCUGGAAGAGCUGGUGCAAGCGAGAUAUCGGGAUGGCAGGCAAAUCCACCAUCCGAAACGAGAAGGCGUGAAGCGUACGGAAAGCUAAGGCGAGUACGGAAGGCAGUGGAGGAGCUUCCAAGAAAAGUUUCUAACGAAAGUAUAUGUGACCCGUACCGAAAAUGGACACACAUGGGUGAGGAGAGAAUCCUAAGGUGAGCGAGAGAACUAUAGCUAAGGAACUCUGCAAAAUGACUCCGUAACUUAGGGAGAAGGAGUGCUCAUAGAGAUAUGAGCCGCAGUGAAACGGCCCAAGCGACUGUUUACCAAAAACACAGCUCUCUGCUAAGCCGCAAGGCGAAGUAUAGGGGGUGACGCCUGCCCGGUGCUGGAAGGUUAAGGGGAGGGGUUAACGCAAGUGAAGCCCUGAACUGAAGCCCCAGUAAACGGCGGCCGUAACUAUAACGGUCCUAAGGUAGCGAAAUUCCUUGUCAGGUAAGUUCUGACCCGCACGAAAGGCGUAACGAUUUGGGCGCUGUCUCAGCUGUAGACUCGGUGAAGUCUUAGUACCUGUGAAGAUGCAGGUUACCCGCGACUAGACGGAAAGACCCCAUGGAGCUUCACUGCAGGUUGAUAUUGGGAUUUGAUGCAGCAUGUACAGGAUAGGUAGGAGGCAAGGAGAUGGAUACGCCAGUAUUCAAGGAGCCGCUGUUGGGAUACUACCCCUGUUGUAUUGGAUUUCUAACCGGACGACGUAAAGCCGUUGACGGGACAGUGUCAGUCGGGCAGUUUGACUGGGGCGGUCGCCUCCCAAAGAGUAACGGAGGCGCCCAAAGAUACCCUCAGCUUGGAUGGAAACCAAGCGCAGAGUGCAAAGGCAAAAGGGUGUUUGACUGCGAGACCCACAAGUCGAGCAGGGACGAAAGUCGGGCUUAGUGAUCCGGCGGUGCUGAAUGGAAAGGCCGUCGCUCAACGGAUAAAAGCUACCCUGGGGAUAACAGGCUGAUCUCCCCCAAGAGUUCACAUCGACGGGGAGGUUUGGCACCUCGAUGUCGGCUCAUCGCAUCCUGGAGCUGAAGUCGGUUCCAAGGGUUGGGCUGUUCGCCCAUUAAAGCGGUACGCGAGCUGGGUUCAGAACGUCGUGAGACAGUUCGGUCCCUAUCUGUCGUGGGCGCAGGAAAUUUGAGAAGAGCUGUCCUCAGUACGAGAGGACCGGGAUGGACGCAUCAAUGGUGGACCAGUUGUCACGCCAGUGGCAUAGCUGGGUAGCUAAAUGCGGAAGGGAUAAACGCUGAAGGCAUCUAAGUGUGAAACCCACUUCAAGAUGAGAUUUCCCAUUGCGCAAGCAAGUAAGACCCCUUAAAGACGAUAAGGUAGAUAGGUCAGGAGUGUAAGCAUGGUGACAUGUUAAGCGGACUGAUACUAAUAGGUCGAGGGCUUGACCG
rnacentral:rRNA from 1 species